rnacentral:rRNA from 1 species
GUGCCAGCAGCCGCGGUAAGACGUAGGAGGCGAGCGUUAUCCGGAUUCACUGGGCGUAAAGCGCAUGUAGGCGGUUUGUUAAGUCCGGUGUUAAAGCCCCUGGCUCAACUGGGGGAGGUCAUUGGAGACUAACAGACUUGAGGGCAACAGAGGCACGUGGAACUCCCGGUGUAGCGGUGGAAUGCGUAGAGAUCGGGAAGAACACCAGUGGCGAAGGCGACGUGCUGGGUUGCAACUGACGCUGAGAUGCGAAAGUGUGGGGAGCAAACGGGAUUAGAUACCCGCGUAGUCC